rnacentral:rRNA from 1 species
UACAGAGGUCUCAAGCGUUGUUCGGAUUCAUUGGGCGUAAAGGGUGCGUAGGUGGCGCCGUAAGUCAGGUGUGAAAUUUCGGAGCUUAACUCCGAAACUGCAUUUGAUACUGCGGUGCUUGAGGACUGGAGAGGAGACUGGAAUUCAUGGUGUAGCAGUGAAAUGCGUAGAUAUCAAGUGGAACACCAGUGGCGAAGGCGAGUCUCUGGACAUUUCCUGACGCUGAGGCACGAAAGCCAGGGGAGCAAACGGG